rnacentral:rRNA from 1 species
GACGAACGCUGGCGGCGUGCUUAACACAUGCAAGUCGAACGGAGAGGCCCUGCUUUUGUGGGGUGCUCGAGUGGCGAACGGGUGAGUAACACGUGAGUAACCUGCCCUUGACUUUGGGAUAACUUCAGGAAACUGGGGCUAAUACCGGAUAGGAGCUCCUGCUACAUGGUGGGGGUUGGAAAGUUUCGGCGGUUGGGGAUGGACUCGCGGCUUAUCAGCUUGUUGGUGGGGUAGUGGCUUACCAAGGCUUUGACGGGUAGCCGGCCUGAGAGGGUGACCGGCCACAUUGGGACUGAGAUACGGCCCAGACUCCUACGGGAGGCAGCAGUGGGGAAUAUUGCACAAUGGGCGGAAGCCUGAUGCAGCAACGCCGCGUGCGGGAUGACGGCCUUCGGGUUGUAAACCGCUUUCGCCUGUGACGAAGCGUGAGUGACGGUAAUGGGUAAAGAAGCACCGGCUAACUACGUG